GUUUCUCGAAGGAUUGUCCAAAAGGGGACCGUGGCGGUGGUAGAAGUCGUACCUGCCAUGAGGCAAAAAAAAACAAGAAAACAUUUUUAGUGUCCAUUUUUAACGAAGAAGAGGGCCAUGUAGCAAGGGAUUUUCCUCAAGGAGGAUGCAAUGGGUUCGUUGUUUUACCCCUAAUGUCAUGAAGCUGGUUGCACCUCGAAAGGCUGUCCGAAUCUAUUCAGUGAAUUGAUGGGAGAUGUAGAGCCGCGUAAGAAAUACAUUCCGGAAGCUGUGACAUGCGAUGAAAAGGAAUUCUUUAAGGGCAUCGUCUGUGGGAAACGCUUUAACAGUUUUGAUAAAGUCGUGCUCCAAGUUACAGGAAAAGAUGUAUCUCAAUACAUAACAUCUUUCGAAGAAGCUGCGCCAACUACUACUUCAAAACAUAAAAAAUUCUGGCUGCAUAAAACCAACACGUGUUCAGAAAGCUUCAGUUGCAGGUGGCAUACUUGGUACCGGUUUUGAACAUAUUGUUAGAACAAGGUGUUGCUGGUGCGUCUCAUGCCAUGGUUCAAAAGCCAGAAGUUGUAAUUGUCGCACCCACUGGUGAAUGGGCCAUUCAAAUUUAACGGAAGGCGUGUAAAUUAUCCUACAAUUCGGUUUUCAAGUCUGAUUAUAUAUGGAGGAACUGUCACGAGCCAUCAAAUGUCAAAUCUUCAAGCUGGGGAAUCCGUCGUGCUUUUAUGUUUUCGGCGACAUUCCCAGAUGAAGUACAAGCGCUGGCUGCGACUUACAUGGAAGACUACGUAUUCGUUACAACAGGCAUUGUCGGUGGCACCAAUCGAGAUGUUGAAAAGCUGUUUUUUCAGUGCUCGAAAAGAGAUAAGAGAGUAAGCUGAUCGAAGUUUUACAAGAUCUCGGUGAUGCCAAGACUAUCGUUUUUGAUAACAGCAAAAAGACGCCGGAUUUCAUCGCUGCAUUUUUCUGCCAUAACAACUUACAAUCUACCAGCAUCCAUGGUGAUCGUCUUCUGAGUCAGCGUGAGCAAGCGACUUGUGACUUAAAAAUGAUAUUGCCGGCGUCAACGAUGUCGUAAAUUAUGACUUACCAACUGAUAUUGACGAGUGUGUUCAUCGUGUUGGUCGAACGGGCCGCGUGGGAAAUGUCUGAAAAUCAAAUAAGGUUGUUUGACGAAGAAAGAGAUGGCCCUAACGCUGGAAAGUUUGUCUGUUUGUUAACUAAGUCCAACGGUGAUGUACCGCCUUUCAUGCAAGCGAUAGUCCCAGGCGUGCGUGGAAGGGGUUACGACUUUAGCGCCCCUUCGACCCAAGGGGGUUUUGCUAGUCGAGAUAUGCGCCGAUUCGGCGAUAAACCUGGAUUUGCUGCCUUGCCCACUGAAGUUGAAGAGAGUUGGCAUUAACUCAAUGUAAUUAACCAAAAUUCGUAUCCAAGAACAUCUUGGAAUUUGCAAUGUCUGUUUGAAAAUUUGAUUACGUGGUUAUUUUGCCAACCUAUUUACCUGAAUAGAUAAAAUAUUCAUUUUGUUUAAGGAAACAGGAAAUGGGAAUAUUUUAUAUUAUUCUUCUCUCUUUAGUGGGUUAUUUUUUUUUUUUAAUUUAACGUUUAACUACAUAGCUUUCAAAAUCUAUAACUAACCAUGUAGAGACAGUUAUGGCAUAUUGGUAGCAUGCUUUC